ensembl:piRNA 21ur-3196 ncRNA
UUACGUUGAUCGACUAGUUCC